UUCACCGUCUUGGUCCAGCUGUAGCUCUGGGAGGCAGCAGCUACACUUUAGUGUACACCUUUGUGCUUCAAUGUUACCCAGACGCAAGCAUUUCAGUACUAUUACACGGUAUCUGUUUGACACGUCACUGCUGUUAUGUGGUGAACCCUGCAAUGGACUCCGACCGCUCUGAGCCACAGGAGGCUGGAGUGGUUGCUGAAAUAAAAAAGUCUCAACUUACGUUUUUCCCUCAAAAUUUCCCUCUCCUAUAAGUAGGUCCUUGUACUGUCCUAAGAGAAUUUUGUUGUCUGGAAAAACUUUAGGAGAAUUCUAAAUAAAGUUCUUUCUAAGCAACCUUCCAAGCUGUUUUGCUCCUCUUCCUUUCAUGAAGUGUUAAAAUGCCCAUUUGCCAAGAACCCGCAGGCAGGCCUGUUGAUUUUUCAUAGGUUUUCUACAUUUUUGUUUCACUGAAAGAAAUAGUAAUUGUAAGUAAUAGUAAAUGAAAGAAUAGUAAUUUCCGCCCAUGUAAAAAAAUCUGCCAGGUCAUCACGGUGAGGAUCCAACAUAGCGUGGCGUCCAAAACAACACAGCGUGUCACUCCAAGACCAACUUCCGCCUUCUUCUUCUCCCAGUCUAACCUCAACUUCCUGUUUCCUUUUUGCGCAUGCCAACAAUUCCCCAAUCAGCUCUUGUUAUGGCACCUUAACCGCCAUAUAAACUCCACCCCGCCCAGCCCAAGAAAAGUGCUGGUCCAACUGCCUCCUCCUCAGAGGCUUCCUGCAUUCUCCUGCAGCGCUCCUGUGCCCGAAAUAAAGGCUUCUUUUGCCUCUGUCCUCUCAUCUGCACCAAAAGAAAGAAACUUUACGAUAUGGCGCCACAAUCCAAAGCGUUCCAGGUCCUUCUUGACUGGAAAAGAUUGGACGAAACAAGCCAAGAACAGUGUCGUAAGUUUAUUUGAAGACCUGCAUAUGGAAAGGUGAUCAGUUAUGAAGAAGAAAAGCUUUGGCGGAAUCUUGGAAUGCAGCUUUUUUGGAAUCUUCCGCUAAAGAAAAUCAGACUGCGGUCAAUAUUUCCAGAAGGAUAAUUUUGGAGGCAGAAGGGGCAGCUUCACAAGGCAAGUCUUCCAGCUCCGUGAUGUGAGCGCAGCGGAGGACACUGGGACAUGUUCUCCCUGGGGAGGCUCACCGCCGUCCUCCAAAAGCAGCUCCGCUUCUUCUGUUAACCUGAGAGGCGGCGUUCGGGUCAGAGCCCCUCCUCUUUCAGAUGACGUUCAGCUCUGACUGUCCAAAUGAGUUCACUUCCAUUUUCAAAUUUUAAGCAAUUAUAUUUUCAAUUUAUAUAUUAUAUUUCUUAAUAAUAUUAUGACCAAGAAUUUUACAGGCAUUAAUUUUUCAGUGUCGUUUGUGGUUUAAAAUAAUGUAAUCAUGAAAAUGAUACAUAUUGUUACACUACUAUUAACUAGGCUUCAAUAUAUCAGUGUUUAUUUCAUUGUGUUAAAUGUAUACUUGUAAAUAAAAUAGCUGCAAACCUUGAUCCCUCCUGCUGCUUGCGGUGACUGAGAGGAGGAAGGCCUCUUGCUCUGGAGCCUUCCCUUGGGCCUCAGGGAAGCCGAGGCACCCAGGCGCUCACCCUGUGCAUUGUGGAUGACUCAGCUGAGUGGCCUUGAUCUUGGAGAGCAGCGACUUCUGGCCUUUCGGCAGUGACCAGGACACCGGUGUUGGGAGAGCCCCGGGGCCUUACGUGGUGGAGCACUCCUGUUCCCCUGUGUGUGUUAUGCCAGUUGAAGCAAAGGAGCUGCUACGAGACGUGUUUUGUCCCUCUUCCCACUUAGCUUGAUGUCCACAUCAGGAUAGGGUUUACGAAGUGAUCUGCCUACUGGUCUUACUGGCACAUACCUGUAAUCCCAGCACUUGGGAGGCUGAGGCAGGAGGAUUGCCAUGAGUUCCAGGCCAGCCUGGGCUACAUAACAAGACUGCCUCAAAAAAAAAAAAGUACUGUAGAUUUGCUUGUCUGCCUGUCCUCAUUCGAGAAUGAGUCCUGUAGUUCAGAGGUUCUGAGGGUGAGGAGCGCUCCCAGCAGGUGCUCUGUCAGGGGUCAGCCUUGCCUGCCUUGACUGUGCUUUCUUGUGAGGAGCCGCCUAGCAGGGAACAGGGCACCGGGGAUGUGGGGCACUUGUGUACAGCCCUCACCCUCUCUGUACCCCAGACUUGGGGUUUCCUUUAAGCCGUGUAUUUCGUGUGUACCCCUAGUUAAAAUUUCACAGGCUGGUUGCUUCUGAUAUUAAGCAAAUGCUGCCAUUGUCUUAAAAUAUAAUUCUGUUUUGCAAGUAGUUUUUCAUAAAACAUGCCAUUUCUUAGAACACGCCAUUCUCUCGGGUCCUGAGCAUUAUUUGUCAUCCCAGAGUAAAAUCAACCUUAGAAGACUUCUGCCAAUGCUGUUGAAGUAAACUAAUUUCAGCGAGUCGUGAUUAACAUGGCUGAAUCCUAAAGCUAAAAAGCUACCUCAGUGCCAAAUACACAGGGCUGCUUCAGGUCAGUCCCACUCACCCGGCCGGCCUUUUCCGUCUGAACUGCUCCUUCUGCGCAGGGGGACUCCAGCAGCGUCCAGGGGGCUCGCUAGAAGCCGGUGCAGUCUCCCGAUGGUGCCUCCGGUGGUGCUUUCUGCAGGGCCGCGGAAGAGCCCACCUGUCCUGAGGACCCUGCACCCCUGUGGAGCGCACGUCCUGCAUUCGGCCCUGGAGAUGUCACGCGCAGGCCCGGGCUACAUACGUCCCUGAGGGACAGUUGCUCAGUGACAUCACGUACGCCAGACGUGGCGUCCAGCUCAGGACCCCUGUGGAUGCUGGGCCUCGCCUGUGCGUAGUGCUGUGCUGUGUGCCCUGUGAUGUAGGGGACAGCUGGUUCGGCGUGAGGCUGUGCAGAAGACGGCUGAGGUCACGCUGCAGGAAGGAGCCUGGACCAGUUCACCCUCCCCGUGAGCUCCAGGCUGGCCUCAAACAGUGACGCUCCUGCCUCAGCCUGCGUGCUGGGAUUGUAGGUGUGCGCCACCACCCCCAGCGUGUUGAAGCCUCUGAUUUCCACAGGAGACGUGUUUUUCUGACAGCCUACAGUGUUCUCACUGCAUCCUCAGUGGACCCAAGCAACUUUCCUGGCGACGCCCAGCCCAGCAAUGGGCAGGCGGGAGCUUCCUGCGGCCCUGCCUGCCAGGCGGAAGGUUCCACCGCGGACACAGUCGCUGGUGAAG
ensembl:lincRNA